rnacentral:rRNA from 1 species
CCUACGGGAGGCUGCAGUGGGGAAUAUUGGACAAUGGGGGGAACCCCGAUCCAGCCAUGCCGCGUGUGUGAAGAAGGCCCUCGGGUUGUAAAGCACUUUUAGUGAGGAAGAACGCCUGGUGGUUAAUACCCAUCAGGAAAGACAUCACUCACAGAAGAAGCACCGGCUAACUCCGUGCCAGCAGCCGCGGUAAUACGGAGGGUGCGAGCGUUAAUCGGAAUUACUGGGCGUAAAGCGCGCGUAGGUGGCUUGAUAAGCCGGUUGUGAAAGCCCCGGGCUCAACCUGGGAACGGCAUCCGGAACUGUCAAGCUAGAGUGCAGGAGAGGAAGGUAGAAUUCCCGGUGUAGCGGUGAAAUGCGUAGAGAUCGGGAGGAAUACCAGUGGCGAAGGCGGCCUUCUGGACUGACACUGACACUGAGGUGCGAAAGCGUGGGUAGCAAACAGGAUUAGAUACCCUUGUAGUC